rnacentral:rRNA from 1 species
CCCAACUACUGGGCCACAUUGAAUACACUAGUUGACAUACGAGCAAUGAAGUUAAGCUGCGAUGGGCAUGGUCAGUACUUGGAUGAGUGACCGUCUGGGAAGAUCACGUGUUGUUGGUU